rnacentral:lncRNA from 1 species
CAGCAUGGUGAGGGGGGAUGGGGACACGCUCAGCUGAACAGGACAACAGCUGAGUGAGUAGCUCCUGGCCAGAGCUUUGGACAACCCCAGGUUUGCCCCUGCCAUGGGCAUGGCUGAAGGGCGCAUCCUGAAGGUCCUGAAGGCCUGCAGGUGUUCAUGGUGCAAAAACUGGACACGGGAUGCUGAAUCCCGGAUGUGUGAGGCUUUGCAGAAACCACCGCCCAUGUCCAGCCACAUAAAUCCACAGGGCUACAGAGAUGAUGGAAGCUGCCCGGUCAGUGUCUGCAAUGGGAGGUGUUGCUUCAGAGGAAGGAUUUGCUCACGCAGAGGAAAACUUCACGUGAAUUAACUAACGUGUGAAUUGAAAGUGGAUUAGCAAUGCCACAUAAAUGGAUGGAUCCCUUGGAUUCUUCUCUUCGGAAUUAAACCGGUCCUAAUUUGAUUCAGAGUAAUAAUGAAAGAGGAUGUUAUACAGGCUUUAAUGAGAUCUAAUGUUCUCACCACAAAAGUUAGCCUGGGUUUAUUUCUUGUGUCUCCCAGCAGGGGUGGGAUUGGAAUGUAGGGCUGAAUUUUUUUAGUAGGAAACUUAUAUUGUCUUUACUGCAG